CCUACGGGUGGCAGCAGUGAGGAAUAUUGGUCAAUGGGCGCGAGCUUGAACCAGCCAAGUAGCGUGAAGGAUGACUGCCCUACGGGUUGUAAACUUCUUUUAUAAAGGAAUAAAGCGAGUCACGUGUGCCUCUUUGUAUGUACCUUAUGAAUAAGGAUCGGCUAACUCCGUGCCAGCAGCCGCGGUAAUACGGAGGAUCCGAGCGUUAUCCGGAUUUAUUGGGUUUAAAGGGAGCGUAGAUGGGUUGUUAAGUCAGUUGUGAAAGUUUGCGGCUCAACCGUAAAAUUGCAAUGGAAACUGGCAGUCUUGAGUACAGUUGAGGUAGGCGGAAUUCGUGGUGUAGCGGUGAAAUGCUUAGAUAUCACGAAGAACUCCGAUUGCGAAGGCAGCUUGCUAAACUGCCACUGACAUUGAUGCUCGAAAGUGUGGGUAUCGAACAGGAUUAGAUACCCGAGUAGUC
rnacentral:rRNA from 1 species